CAUGGAUAACUGUGGUAAUUCUAGAGCUAAUACAUGCAGCAAGCCUUGACCCUUACGGGCAAGGCGCAGUUAUUAGAUCAAAAACCAAUCGGUUGUAUCUUCGGAUAUAGCCGUUAGCUUGGUGACUCUGAGUAACCACAGCGAACCGUAUGGCCUUGUGCUCGACGGUCUGUCAGUCAAGCAACUGCCUUAUCAGCUUGUUGUUAGGUUAUAUGCCUAACAAGGCUUCAACGGGUAACGAACGAUCGGGGUCGGAUAUCGGAGAGGGAGCUUGAGAAACGGCUACCACUUCCAAGGAAGGCAGCAGGCGCGCAAAUUACCCACUCUCGGCAUGAGGAGGUAGCGAUAAAAUGUAUCGAUGCGGGGCCAUUAGUGCCUUCGUAAUCGGAAUGAGUACACUUUAAAUCCUAUAACAAGGACCUAUUGGAGGGCAAGUCUGGUGCCAGCAGCCGCGGUAAUUCCAGCUCCAAUAGCGUAUAUUAAUGCUGCUGCGGUUAAAAAGCUCGUAGUCGGAUCUGGGUUACCGGCGGGUACCGCAUGUUGCUUCAUGCAGCAUGUUGUGUACUAUACGUGUCGCUUCGGCGGCACUGCCAGUGUAAUGCUAUCUUAUAGGUACGUUACGCUGGUCGCCGGAACCACGGGCCGGGUUGAGCAGCAUGCUCUUAAUUGAGUGUGUUGUUUACUCGGUGCGUUUACUUUGAAAAAAUUGGAGUGCUCAAAGCAAGCGUACAGUCGCUAUGCGGCUUGAACAGUGGUGCAUGGAAUAAUGAAAUAGGGCCUCGGUUCUAUUUUGUUGGUUUUAAGAUAUCGAGGUAAUGAUUAAGAGGGACAGACGGGGACGUUUGUAUUGCGACGUUAGAGGUGAAAUUCUUGGAUCGUCGCA
rnacentral:rRNA from 1 species